rnacentral:misc_RNA from 1 species
CUUGGAUGCCGGAUCAAUUAUUCAUGCUCUUUGUUUCAGCCCCAACAGGUACUGGCUCUGUGCUGCAACUGAGAGCAGUAUUAAGAUCUGGGAUUUGGAGAGCAAAAGUAUUGUGGAAGACUUGAAAGUCGAUUUAAAAACCGAGGCGGAGAAAACUGAUGACACCCAUGCUGCUACUGCCAACAAGAUUAAGGUUAUUUACUGCACAAGUUUGAGCUGGAGCGCAGAUGGGAGCACAUUGUUUGGUGGCUACACAGAUGGAGUCGUCAGAGUUUGGGGAAUUGGUCGUUACUAGAAAUAUCCAUCAUGAUUAUUUGCAGACGCACUUUUUUGAUUCUAAUUUGAGAAGAAACUUGUUAAACCUUAAUCCUUUACAAGUAUCAGUAUUUAGAUUUUUCUUUAGGGUUUUGCUGGGAGUGAUGAUGAAUCAUUUGGUUUUUAAUUUAAUGUUGAAGAUGACUUUGAGGUCAACAAUGUUUUGUCUUUGAGAUAUGCCAAAAUUCAGAGGUUUAAAG